UGGAACAAUGUAGGCAAGGGAAGUCAGAAAAAUGGAUCUGUGACCUCGAGAAAAGUAUUGGCUCUGAGGGUUAGGCACAGGGGUCCCAUUUAGAAUUUGAAGUUCGUGGUGUCAGAAAAGUUACCACUGGGACAACUGGCUUGCAGCAGCCAAGCGUUCAUCGAUAGAAAAGGGUAGACUAGACGCGACGCUUCCAUCGAGUGAGGUUACCGAUGCGAGAACUGAACAAUUGCGGUCGCUCAAACUCAAAAUUCAUUCAGGGCACGUCAAUGAUGAGGAGCAGACGCUGUAAGUUCAAUGCUCGAGCAAUGAACGUGGGAAAACGACAUGAGUAACUAUGACUCUCUUAAGGUAGGCAAAUGCCUCUUCAUCUAAUUAGUGACGCGUAUGAAUGGAUUAAUGAGAUCCCAUUGUCCCUCUCUACUAUCCAUCAAAACCACAGCCAUGGAAUGAGCUUGA
rnacentral:ncRNA from 1 species